CCUACGGGAGGCAGCAGUGGGGAAUAUUGGACAAUGGGGGGAACCCUGAACCAGCGACGCCGCGUGAGUGAAGAAGUACUUCGGUAUGUAAAGCUCUAUCAGCAGGGAAGAAAAUGACGGUAUCUGACUAAGAAGCCACGGCUAACUAGGUGACAGCAGCCGCGGUAAUACGUAGGCGGCAAGCGUUAUCCGGAUUUACUGGGUGUAAAGGGAGCGUAGACGGUGCAGCAAGUCUGAUGUGAAAGGUCGGGGCCCAACCCCGGGACUGCUUUGGGAACUGUACGGCUGGAGUGCAGGAGAGGUAAGUGGAAUUCCUGGUGUAGCGGUGAAAUGCGUAGAUAUUAGGAGGAACACCAGUGGCGAAGGCGGCUUACUGGACUGUAACUGACGUUGAGGCUCGAAAGCGUGGGGAGCAAACAGGAUUAGAUACCCUGGUAGUC
rnacentral:rRNA from 1 species